rfam:Camelus ferus unplaced genomic scaffold scaffold98649, whole genome shotgun sequence.
GGAGGGUACAGCUCAGUGGUAGAGCGUAUGCCUAGCAUGCACAAGGUCCUGGGUUCAACCCCCAGUUCCUCCA